AUUGAACGCUGGCGGCAGGCCUAACACAUGCAAGUCGAGCGGAGCGGCGCACGGGUGAGUCAUGCCUAGACAUAUGCCUGGUCAUGGGGGAUAAAGUACGGAAACGGGCGCUAAUACCGCAUACUAUCAGAUGGGCCUCGAGCGGAUGCGCUAGUUGGUGGGGUACAGGCCUACCCAGGAGACGAUCCGUAACUGGUCUGAGAGGAUGAUCAGUCACACUGGAACUGAGACACGGUCCAGACUCCUAAGGGAGGCAGCAGGGGGGAAGAUUGGACAAUGGGCGAAAGCCUGAUCCAGCCAUGCCGCGUGUGUGAAGAAGGUCGUCGGAGUGUAAAGCACUUUAAGUUGGGAGGCGUUACCAACAGAAUAAGCACCGGCUAACUUCGUGCCAGCAGCCGCGGUAAUAC
rnacentral:rRNA from 1 species